rnacentral:rRNA from 1 species
AUUGAACGCUGGCGGCAGGCUUAACACAUGCAAGUCGAGCGGUAACAGAGAGAAGCUUGCUUCUCUGCUGACGAGCGGCGGAUGGGUGAGUAAUGCCUAGGAAUCUGCCUAGUAGUGGGGGAUAACUUGCCGAAAGGUAAGCUAAUACCGCAUACGUCCUACGGGAGAAAGGAGGGGACCUUCGGGCCUUUCGCUAUUAGAUGAGCCUAGGUCGGAUUAGUUAGUUGGUGGGGUAAUGGCCCACCAAGACCGCGAUCCGUAACUGGUCUGGGAGGAUGAUCAGUCACACUGGAACUGAGACACGGUCCAGACUCCUACGGGAGGCAGCAGUGGGGAAUAUUGGACAAUGGGGGGAACCCUGAUCCAGCCAUGCCUCGUGUGUGAAGAAGGUCUUAGGAUUGUAAAGCACUUUAAGUUGGGAGGAAGAGCAGUUAACUAAUAUUUGACUGUUUUGACGUUACCGACAGAAUAAGCACCGGCUAACUUCGUGCCAGCAGCCGCCGUAA